UUGUCUAGAAUCUCACCUUUGGACCUAUAAAUUCACUUGCCCUCCUUCAUUGGCUCUUCAAAGCGCAAAAACCAAAAAAACACAGAGGAGAGAGCUAGAGUUCAUCGAUACUGCUCUUCAUAUAUACUGCCCUUUAGUGCCUUCGCAGUAAUUUAGCUACUAGUAUGGGAGGCAACAACAGGCAGAAGAAAUCUUCAUCUUCUUUCUCGCUCAUGAGCAUGUUCAAGCCUCGGAGGGCGCGCCGGGAUGAUGCUUGGGAGGGGGACUCCGUAAGCUCGAAGAAAACAUAUCCGAGCGACUACGACAAGGGCAGAUAUGUUGCGGAGCCCGGCAUCGACAAGAAAGCCACGGCCUUCAUCGCCAAAUUCCAUGAGACCCGAGUCAUGGAAUCCGAACGCCAAGUCAUGGAACCCGCUUCCCGAAUUGGCUUCUACUGAGAGUUGUAUAUGUUUGUUCAAAAUCUUCUUUAGUCUCUGGACUAUUUGUUGUACCUUGUAUAUGUAUGUAGCUUAAUACAAGUGCUGGCCUCUAAUUGGUAGAUUUGUAUACAAAUCAAUCUCUCAAGUGGUGGUUUGUUCACAGCUUUCUUCAACUUGCCUGCAUUGUUAUUGUUGCCUUGUGAUAGCUAUCAGUGAAACACCCUCGUUUGACAUUACUUCUCUUUCGUCUUGCAGCAAAAUAUACAUGUUGUGUUUGUUUUUAGUCAUAUUUGUCCACCGGUGCGAUGAGUGAGAGAGUAAUGCACGGACGCAACACACAAGACAGAUCUGGGCUCAAGGGUUGCUUGUGUGCGUGUAGUUUUCUUAAAAGUGCAGGAGUAUUUUAGUAGAAUAGAUUAAAUGGCUGAAUCUUCACCAUCUUUCAUGUGGGUCGCUGAUGCAUCAACCGUUUGGAGAAAGUAAACUUAAGAUAAUUCAAUUCAUAAAUAUUGAGCAACGUAUUCUUUUGCGCCCAAGAGGAGAAUGCCACGGAUCAGUUUGUCCCAAUAUAUCAAUCGUAAACUCAUUUUGCAAAUCAACCGUCCGUAUUCCAGACAUUAUUUUGAACAAAACUGAUGAGAAAAUGAACCCCUUUAAGCAUCACCUAAUUGUAAGUAGAAGAGAAAUAAAGGUGGUGACAUUAAAGCAAGUUGGCACAUAAAACACGAGAAUUUAACUCUUCUAUUGAAGAGACGCUGCUCAGUGUGUAUUGAGAGCAAUACUUAACCGAGUGCGCUAUUCAAUGUACAGAACUGAAUUGAACGAAGUGCAUUCGUGAUUUAAUGCCCGAGAUACAUAGCCUUGGCUAUUGGGAAAAGGGGAGCAGAGACUAAUGAGUUUGUCCCUGUCAAUCAAAAUAAUCUUCCCAUGUUUGUCAAAAUAAUCUUUUAGCUAGAUUGUUGGGAGUGCGCAAUAAAAGUUCAAUACUUUUACUUGGGGAAAUAGUUAAGAGGGAGCCCAAUUUGAGCCUGUCAACAUAUUUAAUUGGACACUUUCUUUCAAAAGUUUAAACCCUUCAUGUGUAUUAAGAUAUAUUAACAACUCAAACACCACACCAAUAUUUUUCGAUGUGGGAUUUUUCUAAUACAACUCAUAUAUAUAUCCUAACUAUCUUCCCCUCACGUGUGAGCUCUAGGAUUAGGUUUGCUCCUUUCAGUUUAUGUAUCUUUUUCCAUAUAAUAAUUAAACAUUAAUAUCCACUGGUGGGCAGCUGAGUUGGUUCGGCUUUGGACACUUCAUUGCAGAGGUCUCACGGUCGAAACUCUGCAACUGCUAACACGUCUUAAGUGGGGGGCCAUAAUGGUGGGGUCCUGUGUUAGUCUCCCCCAAGGUAUAGGGACCCAUGGUGGAGUUCUCGAUUACCCAAAAAGAAAAAAAAAAUGAAACAUUGAUACACGUUUGAAGUAGGCAACCAAUCAAUCAUCGGCUCUAAUAUUAUUUGUUGGGGGCACGCAAUAGAAGUUGAUACCAUUAAGCCAAUGAGUUAUGGGCCGAGAGGGAAUCCAAGUUUGAGCUCGUCAACAUAUCCAAUUGGACUCAUUUUCAUUUAAAAACUUAAGCAAAUGAGUUAUGAACCAACUAAGAUAUAUUAUCCGCUCAACAUCACACCAAUUUUUUGAUGUGGGACUUUUCUAAUCAUAACAUAAUAUUAUGCAAAACCUGCCAGACACAAUAGAUUAAUUUAAGUCCAACUUAUUAGGUAGAUGAAUCUCGACAUAGAUAGAACAUGAUUUCUACAGCAUGAAUGAUUUUGUCCACCGCUUUCUUCGCGAAUGAAAUUUCAUGUGGAAAGCGAGGAGUUUGCAAAUCGAUUGGCAAGGGUUGAUUUGAAGACCGGCGAAAUUCUAGGAGAAUAAAUGAAAAGACAUGGGCGUUUUGUUGUAUGUCCUAGUUAAUCCCAGUUAGGAAAGAAUCGUACUAUAUUAUUGUAGGAUGGCUCUAAAGAAUCGUAGCAUAUGCUUCUUCCUACUCUUUCCUUACUACCCCGCCCCCCCUCCUUCCUUCCUCUCUUCUUUCACUGGCAGCCAAUUUUGACUUUGAUGUCUGAUUUUUACGCGGGCAUAUUCUAUUCCACUAAGCUUAUCGCACUUCAGAAAAGCAGAAGCUAUCCUAGGUCUUAAAUAAAAGUACGAGUUUUAGUGAAUUUCUGUCCAGCCCAUCAUCCGUACAACAAAUAUAUGCAAUAGCAAUUUGAGGUUUUAUAUUUGAUUGCCUCGCUUCUCUCUUUCCACUACUCUAGCUUGAUAUUUCAAAUGAGGAAAACCCCAUUAUUUUUCACCGCUUAUCAUCAUUAGCCAUCAUUUGCUUUUGCCCGUUGGUUGAUUGGAAAAAGGAAAAAUUGUGCAAGGCAGCUGCAAAUGUUUUACUAAAUUAAGCAAACAUCUUGGAGAUUCUUCAUAGUCCUUGGUCGUUCUAAUUCACCCAGAGUUCCUCAAGUGGAAUAUAAUUGUUCGCUCUGUGGGACGCUGUGCUGAGACACAGCAAGAAUUAUGCCAGGCUAAAGUGAGGAGAGAAUAGACAUGGGGUCUGUGUCUGUUUUGCCUUUCCAUAAAGGCGGGUGCAAAAAAAUGCAAUGCCCACCAUUGGAUUUGGGCUCUUGAGUUGUUCUCUAUGUAUUCACCUUCUUUCUCUUGGAUACUUCUUCGAGAUUCUCUUAGGGAUUUAGUCAUGUUCCAUCUUUUCUAAAACUGAUGGUUUUAAAUCCUCCAAUGCCACAUUCUACACUUUUUUGGUAUUCAUUGAAUUCGCUUCCCCACUUUGGAAUUGAUUUUUUGAUGAUGAAAAAGUUUAGUUUAAACAGCUAAAUCUUGAUUUUAUAGAAGACUUUUGCUAUAUUGUUUAGAUAAAUUACUCCACAUAAAAUGUUUGCUCUCAGUAGCAUGGAGAAGUGACUCUAUCCGACAGAUCUAAUCCUUAUUCAUGGAGCAAGCCAACCCCAGGUCCGAUCCUUAAUCACUGGACCAAGCCAACCCCGCGAUAUUUGGGAGGGGUUGCCCUUUUCCCGUCCUUUUCAAUCAUUUUUUGUCCUCCCACUUGAAUAUCUGAAAAAGAUAAGUUUCCCGUGAGAUUCUUAGGGUUAAAAUUAGUUCAUUCUUUUAGCUUCGCACCUUGGAACACUUUCUUUAGUUGGAAUGUAGUUCAGAUUCUCAAAUUUGAAUGACCAAAAUAUCUGGCAUGAUUAAAAUAAAAUUGCUUUCCACUCUCUCUCUCUCUCUUCCCCCAUUAACAACCACUAUAAAACCUCCUCUUUGAUGGAUCUUUUAUGUUUUAAUGUUGCUGCAAAGCUACAAUGACAAAAGGCCAUAUCUAACCUAUUUCUGUUAAAUACAUUAGACACCUGUUGUCUCUUAUAUUCACACUAUGCCUUUGAAUUCAAUCAUUAGGAGAGGCUACAAGUGAAUUCAUGCAUAUUUCAGUCAAAAAAAAGAAGAAGUCCUAGAUGCCCUAAUGAGCAGAAUAAUAUGGAUUCAAGAUUUCGUGUUAAGGUUGUAAAGUUACCUAUAAGUGAAUUUGAACCAGUGAAAGCUCAAUCAUCGGAAGCUUUCCCUGCUUUAUGGUAAAGAAAGCAUCGCGUUAAAUGUGCUCGUUUGCCUUUCCAUAAAGGUGAGUGCAAAAAAAUGCAAUGCCCACCAUUGGAUUUGGGCUCUUGAGUUGUUCUCUAUGUAUUGACCUUCUUUCACUUGGAUAUUUCUUGAGAUUCUCUUAGGGUUUCUUUCAUUUUCCAUCUUUUCUAAAACCGAUGGUUUUAAACCCUCCAAUGCCACGUACACACUUUCUUGUAUUCAUUCAAUUCGCUUCCCCACUUUGAAAUUGAUUUUUUUAUAUAACCAAAAAUUUUAGUUUAAAUAGGUAAAUCUGAAAUUUAUGGAAGACUUUUACGAUAUGGUUUAGAUUAAUUACACUACCUGAAAUGUUUACUCUUGGUAGCAUAGAGAAGUGACUAUAUGUCACAGGUCCACUCCUCAAUCACUACACCAAGCCAACCCCAUGACAUCUGGGAGGGGUUGCCCUUUUUCCCUCCUUUUCAAUCAUUAUAAAAAAGAAAAUCAUUUUAUUUUUCGAGAGAUUCUUAGGGUUAAAAUUGCUUCAUUCUUUUAGCUCCCCACCUUGGAACGCCCUUUUAGUUGGAAUACGGUUCAAAUUCUCAUAUUUUAAAUAUUUUCUCCAUAAAAAAAAGUAAUAUCUAUUUUAUUUUUAAUAAAAUUAGAAAUUCUGACUCUUAUUGCCUGCUCAAAUUGAUACUACCCCAUUAUAUCUUUAACAUAUUGGACCAUACUUAAUUUGCAUUCUAAAUUCCCUAUUUGGGCCAUUUAAUCGUGAUUUUUUUUUUAUUUAAUAGUGAUUUUUUUUAAUAAUUCUUUAAAAUAGUCAUUUUAAAUAUUUUAGACCGAGAAAUACUAACAUAGAGAUCCAUGAUUACCGGUUUUUCUAUGUGACACAAAUAUCAUAUGACAUGGAAAUUUGCUUUUAAAUAUUUUUUUGAUUUUCCUCUCUUUUUUUUUGCUUUUUUUUUUUUUUUUGCUUUUUCUACUUUUCAUCUUCCCCAAAAGCCAUACCUGGGCGAUGUUGACCUCGCACUCCCCCGAGAAAGCAUCGAUCGUCUCCGGCCGAUGACCUCAUGAUUGUAGCCGUUGACAUCGGUAGCGAAGAGCUUGAUGAUGUGGUUGGACACUUUGACAGCGGAGGACGAGGAGGAGUGGACAAUGUGGAGGACGACUCGGCGAGGAUGGGCCUGAAGGUAGAGAGAGACAAAAGGUGGUGGAUUGUGGUGAAGAGCUUUUGGAUAGUCGAAAUCACCAUUAUUGCACGCCUUGAAAGUUCGAAAUUGAAAUGUCUUCAAAAUAUUUAUGAUUAAAUUGGCCAAAUUGAAAAUGAAUUGACUGUCAUAAAAUAGGUUUAGGACUAAUUAGAUAAUUUUAUUAUAAAAAUAGACAUGAUUUAAUUUGUCCUCAAAAUGUUGAUUAAGUGAUAAGGGAUUGGUUUCAGAUUUAGUAGGUUUGAACCAUAAAAUCUCUCACUUGGAGUAACUUUAAAGACCAUGAUUGCCACCUUGUGAUUGGAAGGGGCAAUUUGCGUGCAUGUAUUGGUAGCUAGGGAUCUGUCGAAUCGAAAAUUUGAGGAUGAUAUGUAAUUAGAAAAAGCAUUAUGAGUUUGACUUAGCUGCAGAUGCUCUCUAACGCUUCUCUUGGGUACAGCUGGCCGAAUCCUCUCCAAAGACAAACUUGAAAAUUGUAAGCAAACCUCACAUUAGCACUCAAUUGUGGCCUCCCCUAAUCGAGUAAUGCUUAGCAGAGAUUGUGGGCGAAUCUAGCCAAUGAAGGUGAUUACAGCAAUAAAAAAAUUGUAUAUAUUUAGUAAGUUCAUACAAAAAGAAGAUGAAUGCCUACAGGAAAUGAUACAUCUUUUUGUUGUUAUUUCCUUUAUGGUUGAUACUCAAAAGACACCUCUUACAGAUGGGAGGGCGUCGAAUAAUUCCUUCCGUGAUUUGCAGUACAAGCUGGGCUUACCAAAUUAAGGAAAACAAACACCCCCCUCUCUUUUUUUGUAUAACAAGUGCUCUAUAGUACCUAGGUAAAUGCCAAGAAUGGUGCCCCCAUGUUGAUUGCAGAAAAAAAAAUGUUUAUUAACUUGUAAUCAAGGUGUUAUUGUAAUUUUAAAUCCAAGAGAAAUAUAUACAUGAGAUCCAUUGAUUAACAUUCACUCAUGUGUUUACAAUGGAUUUGCCGGUGUAGAUUAGGUACACAAUGCGGGUUUGAAUCUCUGUGCUAUCGGAUGCAAAUGAUUCAAUAAAGAUUUGGACAGAAAAAUAAUAAAUCUAACGCGUCAAGAAAAAAGAAAAGAAAAAACAAUUUAAGUAACUUGUAAAAAAUAAAUAAAAAGAAACAAUGAAAGGGAGGCUUGAGGGAGUGAUACGUGUACUCCCCAAAACCUUUAAUUAGGAUGUUUUUUAGGGUGGAGAAUAUCUGUACCGCAAAAGGGUUACACCAACUUUUGUUCUGUAAAGGCUUACUCCUUUUGAGGAAAAAUUAGAACUCUCGUGGUUUAAAAAAAAAAAAAAAAAAAGGAAACACCAAAUAAUUAGAGCCCUCAAUUAAUUAAUGAGUUCACUAACUAAAACGUUCGAGACGAGAAUCCUAGUGCUUCUUUUUUACCACCUUCUCUACCGAUCUUUUCUCCUUUUCUUCCUUUAAUUUUCAGCUGCCUAACAAUAUUGAGGGAAAAUAAUACUACAUAGAUCAUAACUUUUAUAUGGUAUUAUUUAAGUGCCAUAACAUCUUUAUCGAUCACUUGAGUAACGUAACUUAUGUGAUUGUAUGGUGUUUACUUAAGAGCCGUAUAUUUUUUUAUCCUGCCUAUAUCCCCAUUAUAUCCAACUUUAUCCUCUCCUAAGUAAACACCAAACGUAAAAUAAGAUAAAUCAUAUUCUAUCUUGAAUUUUAUCCCGACUGCCAAACGCAGACUAAAUGAUUAACAUACAACAUAACAGUAGAUAUAUCACGAGCGAUUUGCAAAAAUCAACAUAUUAAAUGAUUCAUAUUUUAUUAUUCUACUCUCUCAUUCAGUACGCAGAAUAUGUACUUCUACACAAUCACAAUAAUGUAUGGAUAAUAAUUUAGAAUUGAAUUUGCAAAGAAAAAUAAAAAUUUAAAACCAUAGAAGUUUUAACGAAUAAUGUGAUUCGUGAAUGGAAAAGGGGUGAUUCCAUGGAUGAGAAGAAAGUGCAUGGGAUGCUUCCCAGGAUUAAUUUGUCAUUGAGUCUUCAACCACACUAAAGCGAGGAGGAUACAUCUUUCUUGAAAAGCAUCAUUUUGCCGUGUUGUGGUGGAUUUUGCUAGUUUCACAUGUAAUUUACAGAAUGUGAAAAGUAAGGGACAAAAAGGGUUCACACAAUAAUCAUAAUUGGAAAGCUUGCACCUUCUGAAUAUCAAAUUUGAGAAAGUCAUAACUCAACCCAAAAUUUUAAAAAUCGCGACUAAAUUUUUGAAAAAUGAUUACAGUAAAAUUUACGAACCUCGAGAAGGAAAAAAUUAUAAAAAAAUCCAUUAGGUUUAUGCGAGGAGAGAGCUCUUCAAAGCGCAAAAACCAAAAAACCACAGAGGAGAGAGCUAGAGUUCAUCGAUACUGCUCUUCAUAUAUACUGCCCUUUAGUGCCUUCGCAGUAAUUUAGCUACUAGUAUGGGAGGCAACAACAGGCAGAAGAAAUCUUCAUCUUCUUUCUCGCUCAUGACCAUGUUCAAGCCUCGGAGGGCGCGCCGGGAUGAUGCUUGGGAGGGGGACUCCGUAAGCUCGAAGAAAACAUAUACGAGCGACUACGACAAGGGCAGAUAUGUUGCGGAGCCCGGCAUCGACAAGAAAGCCACGGCCUUCAUCGCCAAAUUCCAUGAGACCCGAGUCAUGGAAUCCGAACGCCAAGUCAUGGAACCCGCUUCCCGAAUUGGCUUCUACUGAGAGUUGUAUAUGUUUGUUCAAAAUCUUCUUUAGUCUCUGGACUAUUUGUUGUACCUUGUAUAUGUAUGUAGCUUAAUACAAGUGCUGUCCUCUAAU
rnacentral:lncRNA from 1 species